GCCAGGAGCGAGCGGCGCGCAGCGAGGACGGUACCAAGUUAAACAGUUACCGCGCUGCCCUCCGCGACCCCGCCGACCUCCGGCGCGCGGUGGGCGGGUGUUAAUGACGUCACGGCCCAAGGGCGUGGGUUAAAUAGUCACCUCCUCCUGGCCUGGAGGAGGGUGGGGUCCGGCGGGGAUGGAGAAGGUUAGGAUUUCACACCAAUAUCGGUCCUCCACGUUCCUGCCCGUGGGGGAACAUCUCUUUUCAGCCCGGCCCCCAGUUCUGCUCAAAGAGGAAAUAAAACUCCCCUCCCGACCGCACUCACAGCCGGACAGUUUCAGAAUGAGUAGGGGCAGCAGGCUGAUAAGAGCCUGAUGUGAACAGGAAGCCAUAACCCCCAGCCCUGGAAAAUAAGGGGCAGGAAUUCGCCUGUCUUUCCUGGGAGUAUCAGAGAAUAGGGGGAGUUUCCUCCCCAAAGUAAAGUGCCUUUCAUUGAACUGAGAAAUUACCUCCCAAGACUAUCCUGGAGCCGACUUCUGUAAGGGGCUAGGAGAAUUUGGAUAAUUUGGGAAGAAGAAUCCACUCAGUGAUGGGGAUAUUCUGUUGCACACCUGGCUAAGCUGUUUGCGAGAGUGAAAAGGGAUUGGAAAUUAAUGUAUUUGUAGUCAUAUAUCAACCAGAUACAUUUCUGGCUGGGCUGGUGAGACUCCCACCUACCUCACUUCUGUGUUUUGGUUCCUGACACACUUGGGCGGAAGGCAGCAUGUUACAACUGGAAAACCCCUGUACAGAGCGUUGUGCCACAGAUGAGCUGUGUGACCCCAGGCCAGGCACUUACCAGAUUUAGUUCUUAAUGGUCUGGAUUAGAUGACUUCUAAGAAGAUACUGUACUUGAUGGCAUUGCAAUAAUUCAUCCUUCCUUCCCUGCUCCUUAAGCUGGAAGCAAAAAGAAUGGAGCAAAGGCGCAUGGACAGUCUUGUUCUAUCCCAUGACAGGAUGAAACAUUGGUGAAGUUGGGACUGUGGAAAGCAGAGAACACGUUUAUUAUUAUUUUUAAAAUAAUGAAAAUGAAUCAAGGAAAAAACAUAUUUUAGAGAAUCUGGAAGUCAAGAUAUGAGGCAUUAAAACAUGAUGUGGAAAGCGAGGGGCCGUUCUCCCUAUUUAAAAUCAACUGUUUAAAAUCACCAUUCUUGGGAGUUCCCAUCGUGGUUCAGCUGAAACGAAUCUGACUAGCAUCCAUGAGGACUCAGGUUGAUCCCUGG